UAGGGAAUCUUCCACAAUGGGCGAAAGCCUAAUGGAGCAACGCCGCGUGUGUGAUGAAGGGUUUCGGCUCGUAAAACACUGUUGUAAGAGAAGAAUGACAUUGAGAGUAACUGUUCAAUGUGUGACGGUAUCUUACCAGAAAGGAACGGCUAAAUACGUGCCAC
rnacentral:rRNA from 1 species